UGGGGAAUCUUGGACAAUGGGGGCAACCCUGAUCCAGCGACGCCGCGUGGGUGAUGAAGGCCUUCGGGUCGUAAAGCCCUUUUGCCGGGGAAGAUGAUGACGGUACCCGGAGAAGAAGCACCGGCUAACUCUGUGCCAGCAGCCGCGGUAAGACAGAGGGUGCUAGCGUUGUUCGGAAUUACUGGGCGUAAAGGGCGCGUAGGCGGCUCGUUUAGUCGGGUGUGAAAUCCCAAGGCUCAACCUUGGAACUGCAUUCGAUACUGGCGGGCUAGAGACCGGAAGAGGUGGGUGGAAUACCCAGUGUAGAGGUGAAAUUCGUAGAUAUUGGGUGGAACACCGGUGGCGAAGGCGGCUCACUGGUCCGGUUCUGACGCUGAGGCGCGAAAGCGUGGGGAGCAAACAGG
rnacentral:rRNA from 1 species